rnacentral:rRNA from 1 species
ACGCUGAGGAGCGAAAGGGUGGGGAGCAAACAGGCUUAGAUACCCUGGUAGUCCACCCCGUAAACGUUGGGAACUAGUUGUGGGGACCAUUCCACGGUUUCCGUGACGCAGCUAACGCAUUAAGUUCCCCGCCUGGGGAGUACGGCCGCAAGGCUAAAACUCAAAGGAAUUGACGGGGACCCGCACAAGCGGCGGAGCAUGCGGAUUAAUUCGAUGCAACGCGAAGAACCUUACCAAGGCUUGACAUAUACGAGAACGCUGCAGAAAUGUGGAACUCUUUGGACACUCGUAUACAGGUGGUGCAUGGUUGUCGUCAGCUCGUGUCGUGAGAUGUUGGGUUAAGUCCCGCAACGAGCGCAACCCUCGUCCUAUGUUGCCAGCGGGUCAUGCCGGGGACUCAUAGGAGACUGCCGGUCAACUCGGAGGAAGGC